rnacentral:lncRNA from 1 species
UGACCACCACAAAAGCAAUCGAAUUAUAUGCCAGUCUGAAUUCUCAAUCCAGCGUCGAAGCAUAGGGAAACUGAACAUGAUAGCCGCCAGCACAUUUGGGAGCAAAUAAAGAGCGAAAUUACCAAAGUAUGCAAGACAUGUUUGAAAGAUUCGUAGCAUUCAAUAACAGCACAUUUCAUGUAUUCGUCUGCACAUAUGCGCUUCCAGAGGUCAGAGUCUUUUGUUCGAAACUGAGCUGCCAUAUCCAAUGCUAUGGGUAUCUGUUCCAAGAAGAUAACUUUAACAAGAGUCGAAAAAAAGAACAGAGGUAUCUGGAAUAACAAACGAAGACCACAAACCUUGCUUGCAAGCAAAAAUGGUGGCCAUUGAAUUAGUUUCAAACUAGGAUCUGAAGUAUAAGGAACAAGCAACAGAUCCAUCUCCCUGAACAAACAGUUGGUUUAAGGACAUGGAAAAUAUGGGGAUUCAUAAAAGGCGGUUUAGUAUCUAAGUUAUUACCUGUCACUGAUGAGAUCUUCCUCUCGGAAGCUGCUAAUUAUUUCAUUCCAGAGUUGGGAAAAUUUUGCCGCUUCAGUUCUUCUUGCUGCUGUGACCUGCAUAUAGAUAGAAUUUGGUACCUUUAUAGAAUACUAGUACCAUUCUUCAAGAAAUCACUUUAUAGAAGAAUCAAUCUUGUUUAACCUCUGCAAAUCUUUUCGAUAGGGAAAACCCUCUUCUCCUUGUUUUAUCAGAAGGAACAAGAUACGUGUUAAAUGCACCAGGCAAUGAUUGGAACCUGGACCUUAGCAUUCCAAGCGUUCGUAUCUGGACGUAGAAUAGAAAUGAUUUUGUUAGGAAAAGAUAUUAUCACGUAGGACAACCUUGAUUUCAUCUUAGUAACACAAUAAGGGUUAAAUAAGUGAGUAGAAUGGAUCCAGCAAGAAAGUAUUACCUCUCCCAAUCUAUCAAAGGCCCCAAUGACACCACCACAUAUAGUGGAGAAGAUAGCAUACCAAAUUUGAGUGUCCAUAAAAUAAACCUGAAGCAAAAUUAAGGAACGUGAGAUAUCCAUGGAAUUGCUAAAGAAUUCAUUUCGAUAAGUGGUUAAGAAAAAUAUACCAAAAUCACAGGUAACCACAGGGACACCACUGCUCCAUAGUUGUGCUCAGCUGCAUAUGUGCAUAAGCAUUCUGGCAUGAAGCGAAUAUUUGCAGCUUCACCCCAAAUGAGUAGAUACAAACCCAUAUACAGUAUCUUCCGCUGUUGUAUAUCUUCAGCACCUUGAGGAAGCCUUCGCAUAAAAAUAGAUGAGUGAAUUUUGAUUAAGAGUAUAAACAUCAUUCAAAAAAGUGUCACAUCCAAGCCAUUUGUGAAAAAAAUAGUGCCUGGUACCUUAAACUAUGUUUACGUCCUAAAAACUUGCACCAGUUCUUGUAGUUCUUAAAGAGCUUUGUCUUGACGGCAUCAACGGCUCUAUCGUCCAGCUGCAUUUAUACAUUGAAUUAAUAAAAAUUUCAUUGCUAAAAAGUGUUUGACAUAUGAGUAUGUAUCUUUUAUUGAUGGAUUUUUGAGAUAAUGCUGUGGUUUUUUACUCAUCACUAGUGUCAGCGGGUCUCAGAGCACAUGUGCAACUGCUCUAUAGGUGAAGAGAGGAAACUACCGAGGUACCUUAUUCAGAGGCUCUGGCCUGGGAGUCAACCUUAUAUGAUUAUCAGCAAGUAAACAAACCAGAUGCUCCCUCUGGUUCCUGACAUUGUCUCUCUGUUAAGAUCAAUGAAAUAAUAAGAAAUAUAUCUAUCUCACAGGUUCAACAUGAAUUCAUUAGAUCAUCUUGUUACUCUUCUUAGAUCAGCAACUUGCCUGGAAUCCAAACAUAGCUCUUAACCAGUCAAGAAGAUCCAGAUUUCCGGAUUUCUUUUUGUGCUGCUCAAAUCCAGAUGGCCAGUUCAAUCCACGAGUGUUCCCCAAGGCAGCUACAGCGACAGCCAAGAUAUAGAGCGGGGGAACCCCUUUAACUCGUGGAAGGAAGGAUAGCCAUUGCUUCAGCAUCCCAGGAGCAAAAGAAACGGACUGGGCAUAGCAAAGCGGCAAUACCACACACCAAGCGAGACUUACAACGAUCUUGAGAAUAUUUCUCAAAAUUUCAGUAAAUUUCCACCUGUGGAAACCCGGGAAGUUUAAGAUAACGUCCAAGAGA